rnacentral:rRNA from 1 species
AGUGAACGCUGGCGGUAGGCCUAACACAUGCAAGUCGAACGGCAGCACAGUAAGAGCUUGCUCUUACGGGUGGCGAGUGGCGGACGGGUGAGGAAUACAUCGGAAUCUACUUUUUCGUGGGGGAUAACGUAGGGAAACUUACGCUAAUACCGCAUACGACCUACGGGUGAAAGCAGGGGAUCUUCGGACCUUGCGCGAUUGAAUGAGCCGAUGUCGGAUUAGCUAGUUGGCGGGGUAAAGGCCCACCAAGGCGACGAUCCGUAGCUGGUCUGAGAGGAUGAUCAGCCACACUGGAACUGAGGCACGGUCCAGACUCCUACGGGAGGCAGCAGUGGGGAAUAUUGGACAAUGGGCGCAAGCCUGAUCCAGCCAUACCGCGUGGGGGAAGAAGGCCUUUGGGUUGUAAAGCCCUUUUUUUGGGGAAGAAAAGCAGGAAGUUAAUACCCCGCUGUUCUGACGGUACCCAAAGAAUAAACACCGGGUAACUUCGUG